UCUCUGGUUUGAGAAAACUGGAGUGAGAAAAAUACCAGCCAAAAAUGGACAAAGCUCUGACCAAAGUUGGAAGUUUUUGGAUUUCCAAAAAGGCCAAAGAGGAGAUCUCCAAUAUUACUGAGGACCUCUCUUCACUCUCCAGUACUGUUGAAGAAAAGGCAAGAUAGGUAUUCAACAAGCUAAAAGAGUUGCAUUUCAUUUGGAGCCAACUUUUGAAGUCACUUUUGUUUUAAUUGUAAAGACUUUAUGAAUUAUUAUGAACUUAGAUUGUGUUAUGGACUUAAAUUAUGGACUUUUUUUUUUUUGGAUUGUUAUGAGCUUGUAUGGACUUUUUAAGGAUCUUUUCUAGAUUGUUAUGGAGUAUGGACUUGAAUUGCUAUGAAAUUUUCAUGGAUUAUUAUUA